UACGUAGGGGGCAAGCGUUGUCCGGAAUCAUUGGGCGUAAAGAGCGCGUAGGCGGCCCUGUAAGUCCGCUGUGAAAGUCAAGGGCUCAACCCUUGGAUGCCGGUGGAUACUGCAGGGCUAGAGUCCGGAAGAGGCGAGUGGAAUUCCUGGUGUAGCGGUGAAAUGCGUAGAUAUCGGAAAGAACACCAGUGGCGAAGGCGGCUUCCUGGACCAAUACUGACACUGAGGUGCGAAAGCGUGGGGAGCAAACAGG
rnacentral:rRNA from 1 species